GAUGGGAUGGGAUGGGAUGGGAUGGGAUGGGAUGGGAUGGGAUGGGAUGGGAUGGGAUGGGAUGGGAGCAGUGGCUGUGGAUAUCUUCACAGCCCAGCAGCUCCCGCUGUGCCCCAAAUCCCCCGUGGAGCCCGGAGGUGGCAGAGCAGCAUUAGGAGGCGGCCGAUCCCGGCUCUGGGGACAAAUCCCACACACGGCCCCAAAGCACUGCGGCUCUCCCAGCCCGACCCCAUCUGGCAGCCGGGCCUUACGGGGUUCACGGCUCAUUGAGUUCGCAGCCAGCCCUGCUACUGAGCCGGCACGCAUGGGGUGCGCUGACCCCAUAACUGGGCUGACCCCAUAACUGGGCUGACCCCAUAACUGCGCUGACCCCAUAGCUGGGCUAACCCCAUAACUGGGCUAACCCCAUAACUGGGCUAAUCCCAUAGCUGGGCUGAUCUCAUGGCUGACCCCAUAACGGGGCUGACCCCAUAACUGGGCUGACCCCAUAGAUGGGCUGACCCUAUGGGUGGGCUGACCCCAUAGCUCUGCUGACCCCAUAGCUGGGCUGACCCCAUAGCAAAUAUCGCAGCUCCAUGCAUUGCAUCUCUGCCCAUUGCACCUCCAUGCAUUGCACUCCUAUCAGUUGCACCUCCGUCCUUUGCACCUCCACUCACUGCAUCCCAGCACGUUGCACCUUUGCACGCUGCACCUCCAUGCAUUGCACCCCCAUCCAUUGCACUUCCAUCUUUGCACCUUCAUCCAUUGCACCUCCAUGCAUUGCACCUCCACCUUUGCACCUCCAUGCACUGCUCCUCUGCACACUGCACCUCCGUGCAUUGCACCCCUGUCUGUUGCACCCCCCCUGCAUUGCACCUCCACUCAUUGCAUCCCAGCACGUUGCACCUUUGCACAUUGCACCUCCAUGCAUUGCACCUCCAUCUUUGCACCUCCACUUAUUGCACCACCAUGCACUGCACCUCUGCACAUUGCACCUCCAUGCAUUGCACCCCUAUCUGCUGCACCUCCAUGCAUUGCAUGUGCAUCCACUGCACCUCUGCACGUUNNNNNNNNNNNNNNNNNNNNNNNNNNNNNNNNNNNNNNNNNNNNNNNNNNNNNNNNNNNNNNNNNNNNNNNNNNNNNNNNNNNNNNNNNNNNNNNNNNNNNNNNNNNNNNNNNNNNNNNNNNNNNNNNNNNNNNNNNNNNNNNNNNNNNNNNNNNCCGCGAUCCAUCAGCGCCCACAGGAGGCGGCGCGGCGCCUCCGCAGCUCCACAAAUAGAAGCGAAGCUUUGCAACGGGAACGAACGGCCGUGCAAAGCCGUGCAAAGCCGUGCAACGCCGUGCAACGCCGUGCAACGCCGUGCAAAGCCGUGCGACCCCCUUUGCACACAGCAAAACCCGUGGGCAGCUGCAAACUGACCCCGAGCCAAAGGGUUUUGCAAAACCCGCCCAGCCCACGUGCAAGAGCCGAAGCCACGUGCAAAGCCGGAGCACGCGGUGCAAUGGGCGGCGUGCACGUGCAGCGCCCGGGUGGGCGUGCAAACGGCAAAGCCACGUGCAAGCUCCGCACGCGAAAAAAACACACGCGCGCACACGGAGCACGUUGCAAACGUGCUGCAGGACGCACGGGGGAAAUGCGAACUGCAAAUGCACGUGCACGCUCUGCAGGCUGCAAGUGCAACUGCAAACCACAAAGCCAGGUGCAAAACCGGAGCUCGGGUUGCAAACACCCUGCAGACCCCAAACGCAGCUGCAAACCCCAAGCAUGCAUUGCAAUCAUUGUGCAAAACCCAAAGAGCAGCUGCAAACCCCAAACCCAGUUGCAAACCCAGAGCUCAGGUUGCAAACACCCUGCAGACCCCAGAAUGCAGCUGCAAACCCCAAACCCAGUUGCAAACAUUGCAAACACCCUGCAGACCCCAAAUUGCACCUACAAACCCCAAACCCAGGUGCAAAUUCCAAGCAUGCAUUUGCAAACAGUGUGCAAAACCCAAAUUGCAGCUGCAAACCCCAAACCCAGUUGCAAGCAUUGCAAACACCUGCAGACCCCAAAUUCCACCUGCAAACCCCAAACCCAGCUGCAAAUCCCAAGCAUGCACUGCAAACACUGUGCAAAACCCAAAGAGCAGCUGCAAACCCCAAACCCAGGUGCAAACCCAGAGCUCAGGUUCCAAACACCCUGCAGAUCCCAGAAUGCAGCUGCAAACCCCAAACCCAGGUGCAAACAUUGCAAACACCCUGCAGACCCCAAACGCAGCUGCAAAGCCCAAACCCAGGAGCAAAUCCCAAGCAUGCAUUGCAAACACUGUGCAAAACUCACAGAGCACCUGCAAACCCCAAAACCAUUUGCAAACCCAGAGCUCAGGUUGCAAACACCCUGCAGACCCCAAAAUGCAGCUGCAAACCCCAAACCCAGCUGCAAACCCUGCAAGCACCCUGCAGACCCCAAAUGCAUCUACAAACCCCAAACCCAGGAGCAAAUCCCAAGCAUGCAUUGCAAACACUGUGCAAAACCCAAAGAGCAGCUGCAAACCCCAAACCCAUCUGCAAACCUGGAGCUCAAUUUGCAAACACCCUGCGGACCCCAAAAUGCAGCUGCAAACCCCAAACCCAGGUGCAAAUCCCAAGCAUGCAUUUGCAAACACUCUGCAAAACCCAAAGAGCAGCUGAAAACCCCAAAAUGCAGCAGCAAACCCAGAGCUCAGGUUGCAAACACCUUGCAGACCCCAAAAUGCAGCUGCAAACCCCAAACCCAGGUGCAAACAUUGCAAACACCUGCAGACCCCAAACGCACCUGCAAACCCCAAACCCAGCUGCAAAUCCCAAGCAUGCAUUGCAAACACUGUGCAAAACCCAAAGAGCACCUGCAAACCCCAAAAUGCAGCAGCAAACCCAGAGCUCAGGUUGCAAACACCCUGCAAACCCAAAAUGCAGCUGCAAACCCCAAACCCAGUUGCAAACCCUGCAAGCACCCUGCAGACCCCAAAUGCAUCUACAAACCCCAAACCCAGGUGCAAAUCCCAAGCAUGCAUUGCAAACACUGUGCAAAACCCAAAGAGCAGCUGCAAACCCCAAACCCAGCUGCAAACCUGGAGCUCGGGUUGCAAACAACCUGCAAACCCCAAAAUGCAGCUGCAAACCCCAAACCCAUUUGCAACCCCCCCCC
ensembl:lncRNA